GAGGACAGGUGUGUGGAGGAGUAAGAUGGGUGGCUAACAUCCCUGAUGAUGGGCUCGGCCCUGUUCUGACAGAGGGAUCCUGUAGUUGGUAUAAUACUGCGCUAAAAUAUGGCCAAAAUAAACAAAAAACUACAGCAGUUAGGUGACGUUCGGCCAUAAAAAUGUCGGCUAUGACGCAGUAAGUAAACUACACAUCCCAGAAUGUCACACGGACACUGCAGUCGCGAGCCGUGCCUCGCGCGCACCAUCUGGCGGAAUAGCGCGAAUCUCAGUCAGAGCGGGUUCUCACCGCACAUCGGCGACCGCGAACAGGGCCUGAAGAUUGUGGGCCUCGAGCCGCCAGAGCCAUGAUGAAAGGGGGGGCCACCAAGGGUGGGCUGCCCAAGCCAACCAUCCAGGAGAAGGGCCGACUGCCCUCAGCCAGCUCAGUCAUGGCAAUGAAGAGCUCCAGGUCUUCUGGCACGCUGGCUGCAGACCUGCGCCUCAGCAGGAAGCGUCGGUGACAGAAGGUGAUGUUUGAGGUGUGAUGAUGACUCUCGGUGUGGGCCAGCAGCUGAAGAGAGCGAGCAGCGAUGAUGCCCUGGCCAAGCCGCGCCUCGGGGCAGGGGCAGUGGCCGUUGCCUGCCGCAUGAAGAAGACCGUCACCACAGGGGCCAUCUGCGAGUUGGCGGAUGCCCGACCGCGCAGCCUGACAGACCUGUGUGAUUCUCCCCAGUGACGACUUACUCGAGUACCUUUAUUGGAGGAUUCCCAGGCAGCAGAAAUGGUCAUGCUGACAGAGGAUUCCCUUUGUUGGUAGUAGGCGAAGCAGACAGGAAGCGAAGGGAUUAACCUAUCUCGGCAUGUCCAAUUUAUCACAACCAAAUAGUAACAAAAAACUUUAAAAACAUUCUAUAGCCUCUCUUAUUUUGAGAAUAAAUUUUGGUGAAAUUAUCAUGGGUAAAAUAUUGUGUAAAUUGACACGAAUGACCUUUGCAUGCAUGACUGCACCUGCUUAAGUCUGUUCAGUGAGACGAUCCUGUAUUGUAGGGUGAUUUGAGAUGUACUGUCAACCUGGUUAAUUGGUUGGCUAAACAAUGUGAUGUUUCAUGAAGGCGAAAUAAAUAAACAAAUUUUUUGAA